ACACGUAGGGGGCGAGCGUUGUUCGGAAUCAUUGGGCGUAAAGGGCGCGCAGGCGGCGAGGCAAGUCCGGUGUGAAAGUGCUCGGCUCAACCGAGUGAUGCGCUGGAAACUGACCUGCUUGAGUACAGGAGGGGUCGUCGGAAUUCCAGGAGUAGGGGUGAAAUCUGUAGAUAUCUGGAAGAACACAGGUGGCGAAGGCGGACGUCUGGCCAUGUACUGACGCUGAGGCGCGAAGGUGCGGGGAGCGAACAGGUUUAGAUACCCUGGUAGUCCGCACAGUAAACGAUGUGCACCAGGUGGCGGGGGGUAGCCCUCGGUACCGAAGCCAACGCAUUAAGUGCACCGCCUGGGGAGUAUGCUCGCAAGGGUGAAACUCAAAGGAAUUGACGGGG
rnacentral:rRNA from 1 species